ACAGCUCUAAACUCCCUCACCAUCCUAAUUGCGUAAGUUGUGAGAUCCAGCUGAUAAGUUUUAGCAGUUGUUGCCAAGGAUGGGCUGUGCAAAGAGAAGGGUAAUUUGCAAAACAGUUUUGAAUCUGUACUGAGCGGCAGCUGCGACUUUGAUCACCUUUCAUAAGGAUUCUAUUAACUGUCAAACUGGAGCAUUAAGGAACCUUUGAUCAACUUUCAUCACCAUCCUGCUCUCAAACCGUGAUGCUUGCCUAUCAAGGCAACGAAGUUGCCGUGCAAUACUCAUCUGUCGGGUCCCAUGGAUGUGGAUCUGUUCCACUUUGACCAAAGGUCAGAGAGUUCAGACUACUCCUGCUCCUUCAAGAUUAUGACAGGAGGUUUGAUCCAUCCAGGGAGUGACUGCCUACAGAAAGCUCGGCCUAAGGUGCAUUGUACAAGUGUAGCAGGAAAACGAGAAAGAAGUUCACUGUGGGCGCCAAAGUAAAGAGCAAAGAAAUAAAUCGUUGAAAGACCUAGCCAGAGGUAGACUGAACCCAGGGUGG